ensembl:lncRNA
AUUUGUUUGUCGCUAAUGUUUACAUAAUGAUUUUUUUGUACCCUAGCUGUAAUCAGGGACCCUCUUGGUUCCUUAUGAAUGAAAUAGCUUUAACUAGAACCACCUUCCCUAACAGCAUCUUGUUUAUUGCAAAAAAACAUUUGCAUUGCAUCUUUUCACAGUCUCCUUGUCUUUCUGUUGUUUGCCUUCUUAUUUAGCAGCAGACUCAAGGGCUUUCCAAGAGGUCUUUGGAAUAAAAGGGAAUGAAACUUGCACAAAGAAUUAAUGCAAACGAUUUUCCCUCUAUGUUGGAUUACCUGCUGUUUCCAGAGCAGAUUUCAAGUGUGCACGUCAAGGCUCCUACACCCCUUUCAAAGUGAGGACUCCUCCCCGGCGUCUUUCAGCCAUAACCAAAACUCUAAUGGCAGCACAAAUGUUGCCUUCAAGGCAAUCUCUUCCUGCAAACACUUUCUGAAUCAGCCAAUCACGUUUACUCAGUAUUGUUUACAUCACACAAUAAGGUAUGGAUACUCAGCCAAACCAACUAUAGCUCACUGUCUUCCCCAUACCAGCUGCUGAUUGGACGUGUGGUUUUGAAAAUAGAAUGACUAGACUGGUACUUCUCAUGUAAAGCAUUUUCAGUCGUGUACAAAAAAGAAGAAACAAAAAACAAUGUGAGCACUGCUAACACUGAAAAUCAGGUUAUAUAUUUAACGGACACUGCUGUGAUUCAAAAGCGUCAAGUAGCCAGUUCUGUGUAUUAAUUCAGGUACUUUUAUGCAAAUUCUGUAGAACUUUUUUACACCAAUCUAGUAAUUCUAUAUGUCCAUGAAUUUGCUGUGAUUUCAUUGUACCAGCAGGGGAAUCGCUUCACAGGAGAAGUAGCUGAUUGUCACAUUUGGCAUCGUUUUGGUUAUUUGUUUUUGUUGGUUAUUCAGGUAAACUCUGACAUUUGUGAUUCCUGUCUGUGAACUUUAUGAGGUGCUAUUACACUUUUAUUUAAUCUUGUUAGAUACUUAAAAAAAGUUUUACCAGCCUAGAAGUACACCACAUUGGCCUUGUGAACUGUAUUUAGAAGAGAGGUAAUUAGAGGAUUAAACACACACUAAAAAGUUUUUAUGUAAGUAUAAAUAAAAAGCGAAUCAAAAACUUUUAUCAGUUUCUCUAAAAUACGGGUUUACUAGAGGACUAAUAUGGUUUCAUUCUUAGUUGGAAAUGAAGUACGUAGAUGGGAAAUUUGUAUUUUAUUUUAUUUGUUUUUAUUUCACAAAUCCAGCUAAAUAUUUGUUGGCGUUGAUACUAUGGUACACCCAGAAAGCAGACAGUGUUGUUUUUUUAUUUUUUGAAAUGGAAAACAAUCUGUUUUAUACCUCUUUUGUUUCUAUGUUCUUGUUUUCUAGAUGACAGAGAAAAUAAAUAAUUGUAAAUUGUGAAUGAAUUUAUGGGAAACGUGGUGUGCAUAGAUGGAAUAUGGGGGUAGGUGAGUGGGGUGGGGGGUUAAAUUAAUUGAUUUCCAUUCUGCCCCAAACAACUGUCUGUGAGGCUCAGCUCCGUGAACCGCCACUGGGUUUGAUAUGCUGAAUUUACAGUCUAACAUGCUGAAGAGUACACGUCAAAACAUUUUUUUUUUGUUUGUUUCAUUUAUUUUGUCUGUCUUUUCAUCAGCACUUAUUUUGUUGAAGCUACAUAGUUUGAACUUUGGCUUUUAAAUUCCAUGUUCCAAUUCCAAUGGUUGUUUUUCUCUCAGUUUAAUUUGUUGAUUUACUGUAGGUACUGUUUUUUUUAAUUACUUGUUUUUGUCAUGAUCUUGUAUUUUGUAUUUAGUCACAAAAAGUAUAGCAACCAUUAGUACUUUUCCUAUAAACCCAUAACAUUAACAAACAAUAUGGAUCAGGAUCUCUUCUUUCUGGAGAAUCAUGCUCCCUGCUGGAUGUUCAGCAUUACUGAGCCCCUCCCCCGAUGCCAACUUUUAGCUCCCUCAUUAGUCUGUGCACAUCAUUUCAUGUAUAUAAUGUAUCUGUUUCCAGGUUCACUAGAAGACUCAUGUAGUUUUGUUCUCAAUCAAAUAUCUCAUUUGUAUAUGGUCCAAUGUGUCCACCUCAGUCUUUUGUUUUUGUUGUUGCUAUAUUAUAACACAUAAAAUACCCUGUUUCACUCUAGUGUAAAUUACUGCAAUUGGGAUUUUUCUCCCACUUUUAUACCUCUUUUUGUUGUGGGUUUCUGAUUUUUGGAUUACAGAGAAAAUGGAAAAUUGUAAAUUGUGACAUUAUUUAUACUGUAAAUGGUGGUUUUCUUAUAUAUUUAUUGCAUUUCAUGGGUACUUCACUUGAUAAAGGGGCUACAAGGUAUUUUGAAAGUGUAGUAUAAUUAUAAUGUAUGGAUAAGGGAAGUGCAAUCAGGGGGGCGGUUUAAUUUUCAUGGUGCUAGACCCCCCCUUGCCUCAAUGCCCCCUCAUUAAACAGCAUACUGUUAAAUUAUGUAUGAACAUAAGUAACUGAUACAGCUCAAACCAACCAGUUGGUGCUUAGAACCAUUUCAGCAGUUUACUGGUUAAAGAAAUGGAAUGAUGUCUUUGUACUGUAUCGAACGGAUAAAUUAAAUCUUCUUUUUUUAAACUUUAUUUCCAUUGUAUGAAAUUCAUAAUCUUGUGAAGCAUUAGUGGUUUUAUGAUGAGCAUUAGUGGUUGUUGUAAUUCUUCACUCUUUUGCUGAGACUUCUAGGGAUGUGACUUUUAAUGGCGUCUGGGUUUUGUUUUUUGUGUCUUGUCCUCAUUACAGGCAUUCAUUUUUUUUUGAAGGAUGUAAUAAUGAUCUUUUUCUUCUUGACUUGUUUGAUUUAUGCUGCACUUAUUGUUUCAAAAAGAACUCACUCAUAGAAGAAAACCUGAGCCAGACCUGUCUUAAAUUGUAUUGUUGUUCAAGAAAAAUAAAAAUGUUUUGAUAAAUUAUUCCACAGUGGGUCUUUGCUCUCUGAUUUCCUGCCGUCACACCGGUCGCCUCCUCUCGUUGAGAGGAGGAGGUUUGAGCUGAGUGAGUCAUAUCCGCAGGUAUUCAGUCUUGCUCUCCUUAUGCGAUGUCCAAAAUGAAAAGCUGGGUCACAGCAGCAGAGCAAGUAGGGGUGGUUUGGCAUUUUUUGUAAAAAGUUGGCAUGUGGGCAACAUUUUCUCCCAUUCACAGUUUGAUGUGAAAACCUUUGCUGCAUUAUUAUUAUUUUUUUUUUCUUACACUUUUGCAUAUUCCCUCUCAUACAGGACAAAAAAUACUGUGUUCUGGGAGAGCAAAAUCCAGCCUCAACCGAGAAACUACAUGCAUGAAACUGGAUUCCACCUGAGUGCGGUUGAAUGGCGGCAGAACAUUUCAACGUGAAGUGAACUUCAGCGGCGUUUUGGUACAGCCCAGCCAUUUUCAUGUUGAUGUCUCCUGUGAAGGUGAGUCUCAGAACGCUUUUCAUUGUAUAGAUGCUGUAAGGACUUUGUAUAACCACAAGAUGGAGUCUCAUCUCCUGAUAUCAAAAUUCUCAAAAGCCAUUCCAGUUAUUGUAACACAAAAGGUGCAUAUUCCUGUUUUGGUGAAACAAACCGCUAUGUUAACGUCACAUGAGCUUCAGUUUCGAUUAUUAAGUCUAUUUAGGAUUUACAUCCUCUGAUAUUCAAGGUGGGACAAAGAGUUAAAGCCUCUAGGAGGCAACAGGACAACAAAUUGCUUACCAUCAGCCAUCUCAUCAUUGUGGGGCAACUCUUAUGACAUCGCUUAUGACACCAUUCGCUCAGCGCCAUGCCUGGCGUCGAGGGAGAUUUCAGGGCGAGUCUGAAUAACUCGGCUCUUGUCAGAGUGGAAGAGGUCGACGGUCGGCACAGGAGCCGGCACUGGUUCUCUUGAACAGGCGGAGCAGAUCGAUCACAUCAGACUGUCACCAAAGGACAGGAGGAAAAACAUGAUAAUAUUUUGUUUCCUGAAUCCCUAUUGGCACUCGUAGUUGCGAAACUGACACUCUUUAUGGCACCAAAUAUUAAAAGCGUCUAAAGAAUGCUUGCGAUACUUGUGCCCUCUGGGUUGUGAUACACCCAUAGUACAUAUAUUCAUUUAGAGGGUGGAAGUUGUUGAGGAAUUUCCGUCUGUCCUCACCUGAGAAACUGCUAAGACGAGUCUUCUCAGGCACCAAGCAAGGUCAUCUCAUCUAUGGCAAUCCGAAACAGUCAUUGAGCAGCUGAUGUCUCACUCGAGGUGUCAUAGUCGCGGGGAGAUGACGACAUUACUCAAAGCUAAAUACACUACAGAGACCGUGGAUGGAUUCUCAAUAUUGAGCUCUUAUAAUAAAUACUUCUGCUUAAGACAUCCACGGUUUCCGUCUUCCUGAUUCAGCGUGCACUCCAUCAAUUAUUCCAUUUCAGAGGAGGCUCAGGAGAGACCUCCAGCUGCACCAGGGGAGUGAUUAGCACACCU